AUGAGGCUUGCGGAUCCAGAUAAGGAGCAGUGGCGAAUGCACAGGCAAGAGCCUGCUAACGCGCGGGGGCGCGUGCGAGCGUGCACCAUCRCCUGGCGGGGUGUUUGCACUGGCGUGUCACUCCCCUGCAUGCGGCUCCGCGUGUGCAUGGUGUGGGUGCCAGCGUGCACCAUCGCCCGCAGUGCGUUUGCACUGGCACGUUGCCUCUCGCCUGCCUGUGCCCCAUCGCUCAGUGGUGCGUUUGCACCAGUGCAUCGCCCUCAUGCACAGCGCGCUGCGCGUGUGCACACCCUGCGCGAGGGCAGCCGGCGCCUCCACCCAGACGACGCACACGGUCGCUCACUUGCCCUCCUGAACGCAAGAGCAGGUUAUUUACUGAUUGCUGUUACUGCAGGUUGCUGGUCUCUGAACCCUGCAGCGUGUCUGCGACGUCCCCGUCCCUGCACGGCCGCGGAGGGGUUGACGCCGUCGCUGAGAACUCCAAAGGAGCAGACGCCCCAGCAGGGUUUUUGUGUCUUCAUUGCAAGGCCAGGUGCACAGGGAGAGGUGGCAAUUGCUGUCAGUCCCGCGGAUACAUCUGGAAAAAAAGCGGAAGCGUUCAGGCACGGGAGCAAGCCCUCGCACAAGUGCCGAAGCAGGGGUGCCGCUCUUCCUGCAGGCGCUCCACCGCGUUCCCGCCGCGCACGGGCAGGAGCGGGAGCGGGGCGAACCGCAGCGUUAUUGCGCCGCGCGGGGCCGCUGCGUCCCGGCCCCUCCUCGACCCGCCGCCCCGCGGCCGCCCGGGGUCUUCCCGACUGGACCGUUUCCGCUGGAAAAUGCCAGCUCAUCAGAAGGCAAGGUGUUUCACAGGAACAUGCUGCCUUUGACAAAAAUUUGUUUCAAAGGAAAAAUUGGGGAUGCGGGGGGGGACGUUUGCCUGAUAAGGUCAAAAUGUUCAGUUUCAACCUUUUCCGAGCAGAACAUUUCAAUCGUCCGCUGCAGACGGAUGCUUCAUUUCAAUACUGUACUAAAAAAUGUAAAUAA
rnacentral:lncRNA from 1 species